rnacentral:rRNA from 1 species
CACUAUGCAUAGCCGUAAACUCUGAUAGGCCCAUACGCCCCCUAUCCGCCCGGGUAGUACGAGCACUAGCUUGAAACCCAAAGGACCUGGCGGUGCUUUACAUCCACCUAGAGGAGCCUGUUCUAGAACCGAUACUCCACGUUUAACCUCACCUUCUCUUGUUUUUUCCAGCCUGUAUACCGCCGCCAUAAAUUUACCCCGUGAGGGUCCCGUAGUGAGUAGGAUUGGUAACCCAGCCCAAUAUGUCAGGUCGAGGUGCAGCUUAUGAGAAGGGAAGAAAUGGGCUACAUUCCCUGACUCAGGGAACUACGGACUAUGGCCUGAAACGGACAUAACACAAGGAGGAUUUAGUAGUAAGAGGAAAAUAGAAAAUUCCCCUGAAUUCUGGCUCUAAAGCGCGCACACACCGCCCGUCACCCUCCCCCAUUCUUGAGUUACAACUAUUACAUAAAACCUCAAAUCUGCUAUCAGGGGAGGAAAGUCGUAA